UACAACCUGUACUCUAAUAUCAUUUGGCAACUUGCCAUUCAUGCCACCAACCAGGUGAUGAAAUGUACAACCCGUACUUUUUUUCAUGCCACCAACCAGGUGAUGAAAUGUAUAACCCGUACUCUAAUAUCAUUUGGCAACUUGCCACUCUUGCCACCAACCAGGUGAAGAAUGAACUCUUCUUCAAGCCACCAACCAGGUGAUGAAAUGUACAACCUAUACUCUCCUUCAUGCCACCAACCAGGUGAUGAAAUGUACAACCCGUACUCUAAUAUCAUUUGGCAACUUACCAUUCAAGCCACCAACCAGGGGAAGAAGGAAUUCACCUUCGUACCACCAACCAAGUGAUGAAAACAACUCACCAUUCAUUCCACCUACCAGAAGACGAGUAGUACAACUUGUACAUGUGAACUCCUAGCAUUCACAAAUAAUCAAAAACCCUCAAGCUUGACAACUCAACUAG
rnacentral:lncRNA from 1 species